AGCGAACGCUGGCGGCGUGCUUAACACAUGCAAGUCGAACGUGAAAGUAGCAAUAUGAGUAAAGUGGCGUACGGGUGAGUAACACGUGGGUAAUCUACCUUAGAGUCUGGAAUAACGUGCCGAAAGGCGCGCUAAUACUGGAUAGUUCAAGCGCAUCGUAGAGGUGCGAUUGGGAAAGGGAGCUCGUAAGAGCCUUCGCUUUAGGAUGAGCCCGCGUCUGAUUAGCUAGUUGGUGAGGUAAUGGCUCACCAAGGCGACGAUCAGUAGCUGGUCUGAGAGGAUGAUCAGCCACACUGGAACUGAAACACGGUCCAGACUCCUACGGGAGGCAGCAGUGGGGAAUCUUGCGCAAUGGACGAAAGUCUGACGCAGCCACGCCGCGUGAGUGAAGAAGGCCUUCGGUUGUAAAGCUCUGUCGGAGGGGACGAAAACUACCAUUAGGUUAAUAGCUAGUGACUUGAUGGUACCUUAAAGGAAGCACCGGCUAACUUACG
rnacentral:rRNA from 1 species